rnacentral:sRNA from 1 species
UUUCAUUAUUCUGUCCAUUUCCAUCCCCCACUCCCGCCCACUUACUGUGUGAGUCCAGCACUGUGUGAGUCCUUGAUAAAAACGAUGAGCAAAUCCCCAGGCCUUGAGGGGGUCAGCAGUGACCACAUCUAUCCGCAGGGAUCCACGGGGAAGCUGGUGUGCGCCGGGUAAAGGUAGGUGGUCCCUCUGGCACAGGCUGCCCUAAGGCCAAGGCCCCCCAGAUGCAGCUCAUUCCUGGCUCCCUCUGACAGAUGGCAACCGCUGAUGAGAUUGUGAAACUCAUGCUUGACCACAUGACAAACACCACCAACGCGUCCCAUGUGCCUGUGCAGCCCGGCUCCUCAGUUGUGAUGAUGGUCAACAACCUGGGUGGCCUGUCAUUCCUGGAACUAGGCAUCAUAGCCGACGCUGCCGUCCGCUCCCUGGGUGAGCCAUGCACUGGGAAGGGGACCCUGCAGCCCUUUGGAAAGGGCUGAGGGAGGGUCUUGUGAUGGCAGAGAACACGGACUGUGCGUCAGAUAAACCUGAGUUAAAUCGUCUCUCUGCCACCCAAUUGCUGGAUACCUUGAGCCUCU